AUGCAAGUCGAGCGGACUUGAUGAGAAGCUUGCUUCUCUGAUAGUUAGCGGCGGACGGGUGAGUAACACGUAGGCAACCUGCCCUCAAGUUUGGGACAACUACCGGAAACGGUAGCUAAUACCGAAUAAUUGUUUUCUUCGCCUGAAGAGAACUGGAAAGACGGAGCAAUCUGUCACUUGGGGAUGGGCCUGCGGCGCAUUAGCUAGUUGGUGAGGUAACGGCUCACCAAGGCGACGAUGCGUAGCCGACCUGAGAGGGUGAUCGGCCACACUGGGACUGAGACACGGCCCAGACUCCUACGGGAGGCAGCAGUAGGGAAUCUUCCGCAAUGGGCGAAAGCCUGACGGAGCAAUGCCGCGUGAGUGAUGAAGGUUUUCGGAUCGUAAAGCUCUGUUGCCAGGGAAGAACGCUUGGGAGAGUAACUGCUCUCAAGGUGACGGUACCUGAGAAGAAAGCCCCGGCUAACUACGUGCCAGCAGCCGCGGUAAUACGUAGGGGGCAAGCGUUGUCCGGAAUUAUUGGGCGUAAAGCGCGCGCAGGCGGUCAUUUAAGUCUGGUGUUUAAUCCCGGGGCUCAACCCCGGAUCGCACUGGAAACUGGGUGACUUGAGUGCAGAAGAGGAGAGUGGAAUUCCACGUGUAGCGGUGAAAUGCGUAGAUAUGUGGAGGAACACCAGUGGCGAAGGCGACUCUCUGGGCUGUAACUGACGCUGAGGCGCGAAAGCGUGGGGAGCAA
rnacentral:rRNA from 1 species